rnacentral:lncRNA from 1 species
UGUGGUAUCUUUUCUGGAAGCAUAAGAUGUUAAAGAUGAGUACUUGAGAGUAAUGCCAGGUAAGUAAUCAGGCAAGGGGUUCCAGGCAGUCAGUUCAUAACUGGAAGCUUGAUUCCAAGUGUUGACUGAUUGCUCUCUUUCUCCUUGUCUUGCAGGUAAGAACAAAGCCAAAGGAAAAACAGGGAAAAAGCAUGAUAUGGGAUACUUUUGCUUUUAACCCUGAUGAUAUGAGAUAUUUUUGCUCUGGUGUGGCUUGUUUGCAGAGGUAUUAUCGGGGGGAAAAUAAGCUGAGUAUUUCGAGAGACUCUGCUGAGAGUGCCCUCUCAGAUGUGAAGAAAAGUUGAGCCUUUUUUUUUUAUUUGCAGGUUUGCCUGGUUAUGGGGGAUGAAGGUCGACAUAUAUAGGAAUUGUCCCAACAGCGAGUGGUAACGCUGUUCCUUUACCCUUCUCGGUCAUAGUAAUGUAGUGGGAGCUACAAGAUUCACGUGUUUUAACUUUGUCAGAGCACUUUGAAAAAGUGGUCUGUGGUAUUUGGAAAGCUGAUGUUGCGUGUGAAGAUUGCAGACAAGCUUUAUCCAAGGAAAUCUAGCUCUCAAAGUUCGGAGAGCGGUGCCUCUUCGGUUUUCGAAUAAGCAAUCUUGUUGGGGAUCUGGCUCUCGAGAUUCGGAGAACGGUGCCUCUUUGAUUUUUGAGAAAGCAAUCCUAACAAUCCUGUUAGGAGUCUGGCUCUUGAGAUUCAAAGAGCGGUGCCGCUUCGAUUUUUAAACAAGUAAUCUUGUUGGGAGUCUGGCUCUCGAGAUUCGGAGAGAUGUGCUUCUUCGAUUUUUGAGCAAGCAAUCUUGUUGGGAGUGUUUUCUCUAAUGUGAGUAAAGGUUGGGCGUUUUUGCCAAUCUACCUUGCCACGGAGCAUGGAGGUUGACACACAUAGGGACUUUCCAGUUAUCAAGCAGUGUGCUGUUCAUUUACCCUUGUGGCUAAUAGUAGGGUAGCUGGACCUUCAAAAUUUAUGUGUCUAAACUUUGUCAGAGAUCUUUGGCAAAGUUAUCUGUGGUACCCGAGGAGCUGAUGUUGCAUGUGGGGAUUGUCGACAUAUUUUACUCAGGAAAAUUUGCUUCUCGAAAUCCGGAAAGUGGUGUCUCUUCGAUUUUUGAACCAACGGCCCUGUUGCCCUUUCUUUUAUAAGGGCACCAAUUGUAUGCAAGAAGUACGUUCAGAGAGUUAUUGCUUGUAGGAAUUUUCCCCUUAUUUUUAUACUUCAGAGAUUUAUUGUACCUCAUUUCUUCUUCAUCAUUUCUAAGAAUGUCUGGCCCAUCCGACCGUCGUUUUGACUUGAACUUUGGUGAAGAGGCAGUCAUGCCCUCUUAUGACAACAUAUGGUGCCCAUCCUUUUUAUCCCCUAUUGGUCAUUUUACAGUUGGGGACUUUGUGAUGAAGAAUGAUAUGACAGAUGCGGUGGUGGCAGGGAACAUUCUCACUCCCAAAGAUAACAGACUACUUUCCAAACGGUCUGAUGAGUUGGUUGUUAAGGAUUAUCUGGCUCUCAGUGUUCAGUGUGCAGGUUCUGUGUUUAAUAUGGCCCAAUGCCUAUUUGCUCGAACCCGCCAAGUUGAAUCAUUGACGGCUGAAGUGAUAAGUCUCAAACAGGAGAUUAGAGGGCUCAAACAUGAGAAUAAACAGUUGCACAUGCUCGCACAUGACUAUGCUAGAAACAUGAAGAGGAAACUUGAUCAGUUGCAGGAAUCUGAUGAUCAGAUUUUACUUGAUCAUCAGAGGUUUGUGGGUUUGUUCCAAAGGCAUUUAUUGCCUUCGCCUUCUGGGGCUGUAUCGCGUAAUGAAGCUCCAAAUGAUCAAUCUUCGGUGCCCCUCCUUCUGGGGUUCUACCCAGUACUGAGGCUCUGAAUGAUCACCCUCCGAUGCCUACUCUUUAUGGGGCUCUGCCGACUGCUGAAACUUCUCCUGAGCAACCUUUGUGAAGGCUCCCUCUUGUUUGUUUAUUUUGAUUCAUGUAUAUGUACAUAUUUGUAACUUAUCGGAGAUAUCAAUAAAUAAGCUUUGCUUCAUUUCAACGUAUUGUGUUAAAUACACCAAAACCUUCUUCACUAAGUUCUUUGAAUUUUUUCUUUUGUUGAAGCUUGUAUGUUGAAGCUUUGUUAAUGAAGCAUGUAUGUUGAGGUAGUGCUCACUUAAUUUUCUGAGUGAGGAAAACUUCUCGGUUGGAGACUUGAAAAGUCCAAGUCACUAAGUGGUCGUGAGACUUUCGAGUAUCAAGGUGCAGUAGCAUAUGGUAGGAGUCCCCCAAGUCUCCGGUCGAGGGAGUUGACGAAUGAGGCAUUUCCUUUCUAAGUGGUAGCCCAAAACUCCUCCUUCAUAUAUAUAUUUGUUUUGAAAGUUGUUAGGCCCAAAGAAAAUAAGGCCUAUGCAAUUUUUUUUUGAAUUUUUUUUUGAAUUUUUUAUUUCUUUCGAAUUUUCAAAUAUUUGAAUUUUCAAAUUUUUGAAAAUAUAUAUAUAUAUAUAUAUAUAUAUAUAUAUUUUUUUUUUUUUUUUUUUAAGUUUUGCAGGUGAAGCUUUGGUGUUGAAGUUUUGUAGGUGAAGCUUUGAGGUUGAAGCUUUGUUGGGUACCAUGAAUUGAUUUAGCUUCACACUAUCUUGAUCAAGAUAGUGUGAAGCUUUUGUAGGUGAAGCUUUUAUGGGUCAAGCUUUUGUGGGUCAAGCUUUUGUGGGUCAAGCUUUUGUAAGUUAAGCUUUUGUGGGUGAAGCUUUUGUGGGUGAAGCUUUUGUAGGUAAAGCUUUUGUGGGUCAAGCUUUUGUAGGUGAAGCUUUUGUGGUGGGUGAAGCUUUUGUAGGUGAAGCUUUUGUGGUGGGUGAAACUUUUCUUGGUGAAGCUUUGCAGGUGAAGCUUUGGAGUUGAAGCUUUUGUUGGGUACCAUGAAUUGAUUUUGCUUCACACUAUCUUGAUCAAGAUAGUGUGAAGCUUUUGAGAAUUUGUUGUUGUCCUCCAUUGAUGAAGCUUUGUUGAAUUUCCCUUUUUUUUUGUUUGGGAAAACUAGAAGUUAGUUGAAUUUCCCAAUUUCCUUUUUUUUUUUUUAGGAAACUAGAAAUUUGUUGAAGAGUGUGUAAAGUUUUUGAGAAUUGUGGUUGCCCUCCAUUGAUGAAGCUCUUGUUGGCACCAAAAAUUGGUUUUGCUUCACACUGUCUUGAUUAAGAGUGUGUGAAGCUUUUGAGAAUUGUGGUGUUUGCAUUGUUACAGAGGGGAAAUGUCUGAAGCAGAUGCAAGAGGGCUGAAUAGCUUGAUCUUCAUAUGCCAUGCACUGAAAUUGUUAGCUUGCAAUAAGACUUUAUUGGUGACUAUAACUCUUGUUGGACAUAAGUGCUCCCCUAGUUGAGUUGUCAAGCUUGAGGGUUUUUGAUUAUUUGUGAAUGCUAGGAGUUCACAUGUACAAGUUGUACCACUCGUCUUCUGGUAGAUGGAAUGAAUGGUGAGUUGCUUCCAUCACUUGGUUGGUGGUACGAAGGUGAGUUCCUUCAUCACUUUUCAUCACAUUUCAUCACCUGGUUGGUGGCACAAGGAUGAGUUCCUUCUUCACCUGGUUGGUGGCAUGAAUGAGAGUACGGGUUGUACAUUUCAUCACUUGGUUGGUGGCAUGAAGAUGAGUUCUUUCUUCACUUGGUUGGUGGCAUGAGUGGCAAGUUGCCAAAUGAUAUUAGAGUAUGGGUUGUACAUUUCAUCACCUGGUUGGUGGCAUGAAGGAGAGUACAGAAUGUACAUUUCAUCACCUGGUUGGUGGCAUGAAGAUGUGUUCCUUCUUUACAUUUCAUCACCUGGUUGGUGAGAAUAAGGGCAAGGUGUCUAGGCACAUUGUAGCAAGUGUCGAAUGACACAAAGUAUGUUGUAUGAUUGAAUGAAUAUACUGUGAAGUUGUUCGUUUAUUUGUAUAGUCUUGUUGACAUAUACUUAGACUUUGUUUCAUGUUGGAAGCAUUCAUGUUGAAGCUUUGAACCUAAGUGUUUCAUUGCUAGGAAUGUAAGAGGAUUAGGACUGAGUUGUCUAAAUCACCUCUUUAUUGAAUUCAUCCAAAUAGUCUUCGCUACAUAGGAUGCCGAACGGCUGAAGUUUAACACUUGUACAAUGUGAGUUUACUUGUAAUAGUACUUCAAGUGAUCAACGUUUCAUGGAUAGCCAAGGGUCUUGCCAUCAGAGCUUCUAAGCUUGUAGGAGCCAGGGCGACUAAUGCCAACAACUUCAAAUGGUCCAUCCCAGUUUGGCCUAAGUGUUCCUUCACUUUGGACUCUAUCACAGAGUAAUCUUUUCUUCAAUACCCAGUCCCUCACUUUGAAAGAACGAGGUUUGACCCUUGAGUCAUAGUAGUUGGAGAUGCGGUGCUUGCAGGUGACAUUCCUCAAGUGAGCCUGGUUUUUGUGUUCCUCGACUAGAUCUAAGUUAAGGGUAAGUUGUUUGUCAUUUUCGCUUUGCAAGUAGUUCUGGACUCGGAACGUUGCUUGCUGAAGCUCAACUGGGACAACUACCUCUGUACCAAAGGUAAGUGAGAAUGGGGUUUCUCCUGUUGAUGUCCGAUACGAGGUGCGGUAUGACCAAAGAACUUUGGGUACAAAUUCCGGCCAACAACCUUUAGCCUUGUCCAAGCUGGUUUUCAAAGUUUGCUUGAUUAUUUUGUUGAUGGCUUCGACUUGUCUAUUAGACUGAAGAUGAGCUGGGGAGGCAAAACAUAAGUUGAUGUUUAACUUAGAGCAGAACAUCCUGAACUUAUUGUUGUCGAAUUGUCGCCCGUUGUCAGUGACUAUCGCAUUGGGAAUGCUGAAUCUGCAAAUGAUUCCAUACGAAGUCUUUUAUUUUUGCCUCACUAAUGGUUGCCAAAGGUUCUGCUUCGGCCCACUUUAUGAAGUAGUCAACUACAACGAUUGCAUAGCGAACCUUUCCCUUCCCUGCAGGCAUUGGGCCGAUCAAAUCAAGUCCCCAUUGGGCGAAGGGCCAAGGGCUGAUCAUAGGAGUGAGCGACUCGGGAUAGGAGUGAGGAAUAGUUAUGUAACGUUGACACUUAUCACAUGAGCGGGAUAUUCUGAUGGCAUCUCUUGGUGGACUGUUGGCCAGUUAUAUCUUUGGCGAAAAGCCUUGUGUGCUAGGGAUCGAGAUCCAGCAUGACCUCCGUAGACUUCUUCAUGUAUUUCCCGAAUGACAGUUUUCGCCUCUGCGGGCGUAAGGCAUCUUAGGUAUGGUAGGUUAAAACCCCGCUUGUAGAGUUGGUCAUUAAUGAUCAAGUAACGGGUAGCCUUGUAUCAAAUGUGCUUAGCUUGGACUUUGUCAUUUGGAAGGGUGCCAUGAGCAAGGAAUCUAUAAAUGAGGGUAAUCUAACCAUCCCCUUGUUGUAAGUUGCACACUUCCGCAGCCAUGGGGCGUGGUGCUUCCAACAAUUCGACCUGAAUUUUUCUCCCAAUCUUGUCUUCCACCGCUGAGGUGAGGCGAGCCAAAGUAUCUGCAUGAUUGUUUACCGCUCGAGGAAUUUGGGUGAUCUGGUAAUGGAAGUGCUGGAGCAACAAUUAUGUUUGUGCCAGAUAUGCUGCAAUGGAGCUAUCCUUAGCUCAAAGUUAUUGGUGACCUGGUUAACCACCAAUUAGGAGUCACUGAAGAUAUCAAUUCGUUUAACCCCAAGGUGUUUGGCCAAACGUAAGCCUACCAGGAAGGCUUCACAUUCGGCCUUAUUGUUCGACGCCUUGAAUUUGAAACGAAGAGCAUACUUCAUUGCCACUUUGUCAGGGGUCGUAAGGACUAGUCCUGCUCUAUAACCCUGUGGUUGGAUGAACCAUCAACAUAUAUACUCCAUGCUGAGGCUGUUAGUUCUAUUUUUUGAGCUUCCGAAGGUAAUGAAACCACUUCUUUAGGCGUAGAAACAAUGUCAACAGGAUAUGUGAAGUCGACGAUGAAGUUUGCCACUACUUUGCCCUUCUCAGCUGGCUUUGGUUGGUAGGAGAUGUCAAACUCACCUAAUGCUAUCGCCCAUUUGAUCAUUCGCUCGGAAGUGUUAGGACUUUGGAGUAUCUGUCGAAGAGGAUGAUUGGUAAACACGAUGAUGAAGUGUGCUUGGAAGCAAGGGCGAAGUUUUCAAGCAGACAUGACCAAUGCUAGAGCCAAUUUCUCAAUGUUGGAGUAUCGUGUCAUUGCAUCUUGUAAGGCCUUGCUAGCGUAGCAGACAGGCUGUUCGACAUUACCAUUCUUUCGAAUGAGAACAUAACUUAUUGCUGAAGCCGAUACAGAUAGAUAAUGAGAGUGUCACCAAGCUCAAGUUUGGAGAGCAGAUGGGCUUUACUCAUGUAGUCUUUGAGAUUCUUGAAUGCCUCAGCACAUUUAUCAGUUCAUGUAAUGUACUUCUUACUUCCCUUAAGUGCUUUGAAGAAAGGAGAACAUCUGUCUGUGGCCUUAAAGAUGAACCUAGUUAAGGCUGCCACCUUACCAGUAAGGCUCUGGAUGUCUUUUGAAGUUACCGGUUCCUUCAUGUCGAGGAUUGCUUUGAUUUUCUCAGGAUUAGCCUCAAUGCCUCGUUGGCUUAUCAUGAAGCCUAAGAAUUUGCCAGAGCCUACGCCGAAGACACAUUUGUUGGGGUUUAACCUCAUUCGAUACCUUUUCAGAAUGGUGAAAGUUUCAGAUAGGUUGGUGAUGUGUUGGUCAGCAUGUUUGCUCUUGACUAGCAUAUUAUCAACGUAAACUUCCAUGCUUUUACCAAUAUGUUUGGCGAACAUUGAAUUGACCAGUCUUUGAUAAGUUGCUCCUGCAUUCUUUAGGCUGAAAGGCUUGACUUUAUAGCGAUAUAGUUCCCUGUCAUUAGUGAAGGCUGUGUGUUCUUGGUCUGGAGGGUUCAUGAGGAUUUGGUUGUAUCCCGAGUAAGCAUCCAUGAAGCUCAGAAGUUCACACCCUGCCGUAGAGUCUAUAAGUCUGUCUAUGAGAAGAAGAGGAAAGCUAUCCUUCGGGCAUCCUUUGUUUUGGUCGGUGUAAUCGACACACAUUCUCCACAAGACCUUUUGGAGCAGGAGACUUUCCUUGGUCGGAUUCUUCUUAACAAGGACAACAUUUGCUACCCACGUUGGAUAAUUGACUUCGCGGACAAAGACUAUGCCUUUGAGUUUUUCAACUUUUACCUUCAUUGCCUCGUACCGUUUAACGUCAUAAGAUCUUCGCUUCUAUCUCACUGGCUUGGUUUUUGGGUCAAUACUUAAGCAAUGACAGGUGAUAUCGGGAGAGAUGCCUGGCAUGUCCUCGUAUGACCAACCAAAUGGGUGGUGACAAGGUGGUGCCAAUUUCACCAGCGAUCCGAAUAAUCUUUUGAGAUAUAGACCUUAUCCAACUCUUUAAUGGGUUGUGCUUGCUGGGUGAAGGAGUCAUCUUGAGGUUCAUCGGGUUGACUGUUGCCACCCUGAAGAUCCUAGUUGGCUUCAUCUGGGCUAGUCUUUAUGACUUAAUUAUGUAUAUAAAGGGUUUCAUUGGGGUAGGUGUUGUUGCUUGACCGAAGUGUUAUAACAUGAUCGUGCACUAAGUUGAUCUCAUCUGAUGUAACCAUUGCUAUAGGGGGUUGGAAAUUUCAUCAACAACAUAUGUGUGGAUACCAUGGCCUUGAGAUCAUUGAUGCCUGUGCAUCCGAAGAUGACAUUGUAUGUCAUUGGGCAAUCAACCACUAGGAAGUUAGUGGUAAUGGUAGCUGUGUAAGGGCCUGUGCCAAUGGUGAAAGGUAAGUGUAUGCUCCCCAAAGGUUGCAUGAUAUCACCGGAUACGCUUAUCAGAUGGGAAAUUAAGCGAUCAAGCAAGGGUUCAGCUACAUUAAGUGCCCUGAAAGCUUCAGCAAACAUGAUAUUGACUGAAUCCCCCGUGUCUACCAGGAUUCAUUGUACUUCAAAGUUGGCUAUGUGAGCUUCCACGAUCAGUGGGUCAUUGUGAGGGUAGAUGAUACCUCUUUCUUCCUUAGGGUAGAAACAUAUUGGAUCCCAGUUAGGCUUUUGAUACUUACUUCCCCUGAUGGCUUCCAUGUGAAACACUUGGUGGCCAGACCUUAAAGCUCGUUCACUAUUUUUCAUGGCCCUGUUGGAAGAUUUAGAUAUGGGUGUGCCACCACUUAUGGAAUUUAUCACAUUCACCUGGCGUUGGUUACGGUUUCCCCUUGGAGAGUGAAUGAGGAAUUGAUCAAAUUUUCCUUCACAUGCCAAAGCUUUAAUAUGAUCACGAAGGGUGAUACAUUUCUCUCCAUCAUGGCCGUUAUGCUCGUGGUAGCAGCAAAACGUGCCUGUGUUCUUCGUGGGCUUGUAAUCCGGGUGCCUUGGCUUUGGCUUCAGUAUCAGGUGUGCUAUGCUGGGGUAAAUAGCCACGCAUGUGGUUUUCAAAGGUGUGCAUGCGUCAUACCUCGGGGUAGGAGUUGUCCUGACACGUGCUUGAUCCACUGUGUUGACUGCCUGGGGUCAGGGAUUAUCAUGGCGAUACCCUUGGUUAUCGUGGUAGUGUCCCUUACUCAUUUUACUAAAAUGAGACUGGUGAGGAUGAAAAUCUUUCCUUUUGCCCUGAGAUUGAUAUGUCUGUUGACUUAGCAAAGUAUUAAGUAUGGCAGGGGGAGGCACCGCUGCCGUUUGGAAGGUUGAGGUCUUCUCAUUUGGUUGGAUCUGGCUUUCAUUCCCUAUUUGCUGAUAAGGGGUGGCUGUGGGGGGUUUCCCUUGAUAUGUCUUUGCCUCGGCGGAGGCAUGGUUGUAAGCCUGUGCCAUCACCUCAGAGUAAGUCUUCCAAGUGUUGGCAUUAAUCAUGUACUUGAAGAAACAAUCACGUAGGCCUUGAAGGCGGUCUUGUCAUCUGCCUCAGCGCAGCAAGAAUACUGAUGGCUGAAAUGACUGGCAUACUCUCGUUGUGACUCAUCCGACUUUUGGCAAAUAGUGUACAAAUCCUCUGCAGAAUGCAAGCGAUCGGUCUAGAAGAUGUGUUGAUGGACAAACAGUUUCCUCAGUUCCUUAAAUGAGUCUACUAUCUCAGGUGGAAGACUGCAAUACCAGUUUAAAGCUCUGCCAGAGAGGGUGGAGGUGAAGAGAAGACAUCGCUCUUCGUCGGUAUGCAUCCGAUAUGCCAUGGUGGACUCAAAGAGGUUAAGGUGUUCAAUUGGGUCAUCCCUUCCAGUAUAGAGUUAUAAACCAAGCUUUUAUUUUAUCUUUGCUUGAAGAGGGGUGUCGAGGAUCCUCCUUGUGAGAGGGCCAGGCUUGGGUUGGUUCUAGUCAGGUAUCUUGGCCUGAUGUUUGGCCUUCAACUUGUUUACUUCCUCAAGGAGCUGUAGGACAAGGGGGUCCUGAGUGGAGUCGUGUACCAUUGGGAUUUUCUUUCGUAAGUCUCCAUCGCCUUUUAGAAGUAGGAAAGUUUGAGCAAAGGCGUGUGAUUUUUCCUUGGACUCGCCGUAUUGACUUAUAGGGCAAGUCUAUCGGAAUACCUCAGAGUCCCCUGUACCUUCAUAUUCCUUUGGGACCUGUCGUUCGUUCCCUAGAUUGGUAGCUGGCCUGAGUCGCGGGAGGGGAUCGAGUCUUUCAGAAACCCUUGGGUCAUUGAUCUUCGAACAUAUGCGGAAAGGAUUAUCUCGACGUUGCUUUAGGAAGUCUCGGCAGUCACGAUAAACGGUUUUCAAUUUUUCCAACCUUUCUGUAAGGAGGUGUCUUCGUCCACUUCUUCUGCUUCAGGUCGAAGCAGCUGGGUUGAGAGAAGUCUCAUGUUGAUCAAUGUUUUGAUGAUUAGCUCGCUCCUCAUUAGGGAUACCCAUGUCGAAGGAAGGUGACCCUCCAUGUUGGGGGCACCCAGAUGAUGGUUAAUGUCCAUAGGGGCAACGAGCUCGUGUGUUUGAGUACGCCUAGUUUCGUGGAACGUCUCAAAGAGCUUCUCAUAGUGCUCCUGGAAGACCUCAUUCUUCAUUGCUAUCUUGUUUUUCUGAGCUUCUAGCUCAUCGACUUUAGCUUCAAGAGUAACCCUCUUUCCUUCAUUCUUUCGUUGCUUCGCACUAGGUGUAAGAGGGGUGUCAUUCUGUAUGUUGUGGCUUCCUUCGCUCCCUAUGUUGGAGAGGGAUGCCUGGUAAAAAGAGAGUGUACGAAUGGUGGAAACCAGCUUGACAAAGCUGAAGAGAGUGAGAAUAAGUGUCGUUCCCACAGACGGCGCACAAUAUUGAUGCACAAAAUCAAUGAGGACUUAGGUACAACCGAAAGUGUUAAGUUUGUGACCUUCACUAGAUUGCUCCGGUCAUUGGUGUGGAUAAGUACGUAAAUGGAUAGAGACAGGGAAGUGAACACAAGAUGUACGUGGUUCAUCCAGAUUUGUUACGUCCACGGAGUAGAGGAGUUCUCAUUAAUUGUGAAGGGUUUACACAAGUACAUAGGUUCAAGCUCUCGUUUAGUGAGUACUAGUGAAUGAUUUAGUACAAAUGACAUUUGGAAAUAUUGUGAAAGAAUGAUCUCUAUUUAUAGAAGAGAGUUUCUAGUUUCAUUCUGACAUUGACACGUGUCGUGUUGUGAUUGGCUUCUGAUGUUGACAUGUGUCGCACUAUGAUUGGCUUCUGAUGUCGACACGUGUCGCGCUGUGAUUAGCCUCUUGGUUGGAGGGAAACUCUUCUGGGUCGUUGAUGGUAUAACGUUGAUCGGUGCUCAGUAGUUUCAAGAUUGGUCAAGUAUGGUACAAACAUAACCGAAUGAAAAAAAUAAGGAAAAUAUUCUAGUUGGGGCCCUAAUCCCGUGAAAAGUCUUCAGAAAUAAAAGGAAUAACUCUAGUUUUUUGCAUGAAAAAAAAAAUUCAAGGUAGGCCCGAGACCAUUUUGGUCAUUUGACGGCUCCGUUCAUGAACAAAGACUUAAGCCUCAUGCGCCCACAAGGUGGCUGCGGAGGGGGUUACGCCAAUGGAUCUCCGAUGCCUAAGUUAGUUUCUCUGAAAAGAGUAUGUGUUUAGGGCUUUUAGGGGUAGCAAAAACUUACCUAAAUUUGGUAAAGAUGGACCUAUUGGCCAUGGUUUAUAGAGAGAAUAUUCUCAAGAUAUUAAAUAGGAAAUAAUAUUUUGAGAUAAUGGUGUAAAUAUCCCCAAUUGAUUGAAAUAUGGAUUACUUACUUGAAGGAUUUGGGUAAUUAUCCUUAUCUUUAAUGAUUUGACUUUUCCUUGUCAUGGGCAGGUGAGUUGUGGACAGUCGUAUUCAACCACAUGGACCUUUAGGAAGUAUCUGAAAAACGUGCCCAUUAAUGAGGGCAAUCUUGUCUUUCUUGAGCAAAAGUCCAAGUGUCGCCUCUAGGAUUUUUGGGAUUUUUUUAGGCUCCACAAAUGCCCUCACACUUGCUGGGCUACACGUAGAAAAAGGGAAGUAGGUGUAGAAGUCCCAAACCGCCUAGUUAUGUAAAUAGUUGUUUCCCAAUUUGAUGUAGAUCUCCUUAUUUGACUUGGAGAUAGACUCUUCUAGGAAAAGGAAACCAAUUGCCCUCAAUACCUAUAUAAUUUUGUCGUAAGCAAGGGAUUAAAUAAAUUUGGAGAACAAUUUUUAUCCUUACAAGGAAGAGAGAAGCCAUAGGAAAUUUGUUUCCCCUUCCCCUAGCUCUCUUUUUCUCUUGCCUUUGCAAAGAGUCGUUUCUCGUUGUUGUUCUUCUUGUCUGUGCCAUACCAAGGUAAGAAAAAAAAAUAAUUUUCAUUCUUCUUAAUUUUCUAGAGCCUCAAGGCUUGAAAAUUUGGCUUGGCAAGGGUCGAUGAGGUGUGAGAAAAGUGGCAGGGAUGCCACGGUGCUCCAAGGAGCAGCUCAGGCAGUUGGCAGCGCGGCACGAUGACUGGUUGGCAUAGGUUAUGAGCUCGGCUAGGCUUGGGCAGAGGUGGCAGACUCACUGGGUGAAGAGCAACAAAGAGGCCAACUCAGGUUGGGCCUCUACGGCUGCUAGGUACCUGCCCGUGCAGGCGAAGAAAGAAUGAGGUACUGGUCUUCUGCUGGCGAGUUGGGCCGAGAGGCGUUGGGCCUCCCUGGGCAUACACGAGAGUGAAGAGAGGUGAGAAGAGGGCUGGGCCUUCCGUGACCUGGCUGAGAUGGUGAAUUAGGCCGUGGGGCCUGGCUCGAGUGUGCUGGGCUCUGUUGUCCUCUUCUUUUUCUUGCGAUUUGCCUUUUGAAUAUUUUUUUUCUUCGUAUUUUUUGUAGAAAUUUUGAGAUGUCUUCCUCCAAUCACAAAAUUGAUAAAUAGCCUCCAUCUUUGUAUUGCCAAUGUGGUUUCUUCGGCAAGGUAGAUUACUUCAAAGUUGCUCAGUCCUCUUUGUCAAGAAAAAGACGGACUGCCUCUGCAAGAAGAAGUUAAGUGGACAAAGGAUGAUGCAUUUGCUCAUCUGAUUGUUGUCGUGGAGCCUGCUGCCAAUGAGGGUGGACAAAAAAAGAUCUUCCUCACUUGCUAGUGAGUCGUUGGCUAAAAAGAAACCAAAGACUUCUUUGUCUUUUCGUGGGGGCUCGUUUACUACUAAAAAGCUUGUUAUUGAUUUGACUUUUUCCAAGGGGAAGAAAAGACUGUUGAGUUUGAGCCUAUAAAGCCUGCUGCUCUGAAUGUGGCCACGACCAUUGAUGAGAAGAUUGCCCAGUGUAAGGGUUCAAUGGUGCCUUCAGUGUUUAGGUUUGUAUCGAAACCCGCAUCUAGAGCUAAAUCCAGUUCGGCUUCUGAGAGGUUCACCGUUAUGAGGAAUAGGAAGGUGGAUUCUGUUGCUAAAGUGGUGCCAUGGAGUUUUUUCCUAUUGUUACGACUGAUUCGUUUGCUGAGAAGGAGAAGUCUACUCACAUGGUUAAUUGUGAAAAGUCCAUCGGGUUUGUUUAUGAGGAAUUUCCCGAGAUUUAAGUGUUGUUGAAGGCUCACCUUCUUAAUAACGUCGAUGCAUGUGCCAAGUUUGUUGAUAAUGUCGAGAAGGUAAUCCGCUAGGACUCUUUUGAAAGCGUUCUACCUACUCGAGAAAGUCCUUCAUGCUUGCAACUAUGCAGAAGACUUUAAUCUUGGCUAUUGAGUCUAUGCGCAUUGAUCAUGAUGCUUCUAUGGAUGCUAAGGAGGUCGAAGUGGUGCUAAUGACGCAGCUUCGCGUAGCUUCUAAAAAAUUUGAGAAACUCAAAUAUGAGCUAGCCAUUUUGAAGGGGUCAGAUGUUUCUUCCACCACUUUUGUGCGGUUGCAAUGAAGGAAGUCAAUUGCUUUGCACUGGUGGUCCAGGACAUUGAGCAUGCCAAUUCAAAGCUAUGGUUUGCUUGUUUUGCCAAUGAUGAUGAGCUUAUAUUUAUGCAUGGUGAAGUUUCUUAUCUCAAGGAUGUUGCCAGUAAGCUUGAGCCCAAGAAAGUGAAUCUGCAAGGUGCGCUGUCUGCUAGUGAGAGCCUGAAGAAUGAACUGGAUAAGCUGCAAGUGCUCACACUAAGCUUGCUGAGGAGAAUGCAUGGCUGAAGAAUGAGAGGUGUUGAUGCACAAAAUCAGUGAGGACUUUGGUACAACAGAAAGUGUCAAGUUUGUGACAUUCGCUAGAUUGCUCCGGUCACUAGUAUGGAUAAGUAUGCAAAUGGAUAGAGACAGGGAAGCAGACACAAGAUGUACGUGGUUCACCCAGAUUGGCUACGUACAUAAAGGAGAGGAGUUUUCAUUAAUUGUGAAGGGUUUACACAAGUCGCCAAGCUAGGAGAUCUGCCGAAAGAUGUGACAGACAAGGUAAGCAAUUAGAGCUCCAAGCAAUCAGUCCCAGAUCAGAAGUUUGAUUUUGAAUUCCGGCUAAUUGUUCUCAUUCUCCCUAUCUUGCAGGUAGCAUAAAGGAUAAAAAGAAGAAAAGGGAGAAGAGAUGAUAUGAGAUACUUUGCUUUUGAAGAAGUAACUUUCCACAUGCUUAUUCUUGAACUGGGUUGAAGGGUUUUCUAGUUUCCUCCAGAGUAUAAGGCCGACUCAAGAAUUUGAGGGUCAAAACAAGUCCAUCAAAUCUAGAGUAUGUUCGACCCUGAUGAUAUGGGAUACUUUUGUUGUUGACAAAGUAGUGGAUGUAUCGGCAUAUGUUCUGUUAAGCUUGUCUCCACAUGAUUCCUUGUAUCCUUCUUACUUGCCCUAUCUGUUCCUCAGGCAGAUGUGGUAUAUUAUCUCGAAGCAUAAGAUGUUGAAGAUGAGUACUCGAGAGUAAUCCCAGGUAAGUAAUCAGGCAAGGGGUUCCAGGUAGUCAGUUUCUGACUGGAAGUUUGAUUCCAAGUGCUGAUCGAUUGCUUUCUUUCUCCUUGUCUUGCAGGUAAGAAUAAGGCCAAAGGAAAAGACAGGGAAAAAGCAUGAUAUGAGAUACUCUUGCUUUUAACCUUGAUGAUAUGAGAUACUCUUGCUCUAGGGGAAAACAAGCUGAGUAUUUCGAGAGACUCUGCUCAGAGUGCCCUCUCGGACGUGAAGAAAGGUUGAGCAUUUUUUUUUAUUUGCAGAUCUACCUGGCUGUGGAGGAUAAAGGUCGACAUAUAUAGGAAUUGUCCUAAAAGCGAGUGGUAACGCUAUUCCUUUACCCUUCUCGGCCAUAACAAUGUAGUGGGAGCUGUAAGAUUCACGUGUUUUAACUUUGUCAGAGCACUUUGAAAAA